UUAUCUACCACUCUUUAAAUCUCUCUCUAUUCGACACUUGAAUCAGUUCUUCUUAUCUAGUUGUUUUAUUUUCAAAGACACCUGCCCCAGGAAAAGACAAACCCCAGGCUGGCCCGUCUAAAUCUCCCUCUCUGACUGAGAUUAAGAGCAAGUUGUCAACGGCCGCCAAGGAGGGGAAACCACUACCGAAGACCGAGCAGAAGUUUGAAAAUUACUUGAAGAGCUGUUUUAAAAUCGCAGACCCAAAGGUGGUCAAGGACCUUUGGAGUUUUGUAAAAACACUGAAGAUUGAAAAGAAGUAACACACGUUGUUCUUUUGAAGCAUUUGUAUGUUUUGCCUCCUGCAAGACAUUUAAAGGCACAGUCUGCGAGAUUUCCUCUUCGGCCUUAUUAAGUGUUACUGAAAAAGGGGUAACGCCGUGAGUGAUUCAGGGGUCAUUUUCAGUAGUUUAGAUGUGAAGCACCUUUUUGGAGCUAGUUCAUAACUCACAAACUCGCUCAUUCAUGUUUAUCUGACAAGCUGCCCACUUCAUCGCAAUCUGCACCACCUAUAGGCAAGGAAAGGAACUGCACACGCCUUUAAGAAGCUGCACGUGAAUGUUGCUCAACAUGCUGCAAUUAUUCAUAUUUGCGCCGCCUACAUGUAAUAAAUGCUGCACAUGCAUGAUUGUAUUGAUGCAAUAAAUAACAACGUCAUUACAUAUUCAGAGCCAAAGAUCAAAUCUGGUCAACUAGGUAAUUUUUUCAGGCACAAACAGAAUAUGUUUAACGGUACGUCCACACAGCAGCGUUGAAAAAAUCUUGAAAAUCUUGGAGCUGGGCGUGUCUGAGAGCUUUGGCGAU